rnacentral:rRNA from 1 species
GGGAUUUGGCCCAAACCUGCGCAAGUCCAUUGGAACAUGGCGCCCAAGAGGGUGAGAGCCCCGUCGCGCAGGCCGCAGCCUUGACAUCCCCCCGUCAAAGAGUCGAGUUGUUUGGGAAUGCAGCUCAAAGUGGGUGGUAAAUUCCAUCUAAAGCUAAAUAUUGGCGAGAGACCGAUAGCGAACAAGUACAGUGAUGGAAAGAUGAAAAGCACUUUGAAAAGAGAGUGAAACAGUACGUGAAAUUGUUGAAAGGGAAGGGCUUGCAAGCAGACACGAGUUCGCUCGGGCCAGCAUCAAUUUCGCGAGGUGGACAACACGCCAGGAAUGUGGCAGGCUCCGGCCUGUGUUAUAGCCUGCGCGCCAUACACCUCCGCGAGAUUGAGGCCUGCUCCAAAAGGAUGCUGGCGUAAUGGUUGCAAGUCGCCCGUCUU